rnacentral:rRNA from 1 species
UACGGAGGGUGCGAGCGUUGUCCGGAAUCAUUGGGCGUAAAGGGCGCGUAAGUGGCCCGGUCAGUCUUUGGUGAAAGCGCGGGGCUCAACCCUGCGUCGGCCAGGGAUACUGCCGCGGCUCGAGCACUGUAGAGGCAGGCGGAAUUCCGGGUGGUAGCGGUGGAAUGCGUAGAGAUCCGGAAGAACACCGGUGGCGAAGGCGGCCUGCUGGGCAGUUUAGCUGACACUGAGGCGCGACAGCGUGGGGAGCAAACAGG